rnacentral:rRNA from 1 species
CAGCGGAGCGUGUGGUUAAUUCGAUGUUACAACGAGAACCUUACCAGGGUUUGACAUGCAAGUGGUAGGAAGCCGAAAGGUGACCGACCCUUCGGGGAGCUUGCACAGGUGCUGCAUGGCUGUCGUCAGCUCGUGUCGUGAGAUGUUCGGUUAAGUCCGCUAACGAGCGCAACCCUCGCUGUGUGUUAUAUGUGUCACACGGGACUGCCGGUCUUAAGCCGGAGGAAGGUGGGGAUGAUGUCAAGUCAGCAUGGCCUUUAUAUCCUGGGCUACACACACGCUACAAUGGCCAACACAAUAGGUUGCUAAGCCGCGAGGUGGCGCCAAUCCAUAAAGUUGGUCUCAGUUCAGAUUGUAGGCUGCAACCCGCCUGCAUGAAGAUGGAGUUGCUAGUAACCGCAGGUCAGCUAUACUGCGGUGAAUACGUUCCCGGGGCUU